UAGUACUACACAUUUCACAACACCUACACUCUCCUCUUUACAUGCUUAUAACCUUGCCAGUGGAAACACACAGCGUCACCCUCAGAUGAUACCACAGCAGCAACUUCAACCGUUUCAGGAAGGUCAAAUAUUUAGAACAUGAAGGGGAGGUGGGGACCACUACCCCGAGCGGUUCCCUGUCCUUGUCUCCUAGUCUCCAAGUCUUACAUGUUCACACAGCAGUUAUGCCAAGAUUAAUGGAAUGACAGCCUUUUGUUGCAAUUUUAGGGAACAAUUCUCGCUACUUACCAGCCUCUCGUAAAACUGAAAAUAUGUAAGGGUAGUCGAGUUCUCCCGGGCAAGAGGGCUCGUGGCGAUGGGGUGCCUGGGCAACCUGCACAUGACCUGAUUUGAGAGUGAAAAUUAGUAAAGAGCUGCUUUCAUUAAUCUAUAACUGUAGCAUAAACACCAGGACAAAAUCCUAAGGAUCUCAUCACAUGAGCUGAUGAACUAAUGAAUAAUAGAUACAUGGAUAAAGUGAAGACAUUGAAAAAUCACAACUUCUCAUCAUCCACAAAAGUACUUCCACAGUAGAACACAAAACAUUUUGUAAGUUAGAUAUACAGCACGGAAUAUUGUAUCAAGUUAACUGCUUUUAUCUACAGGCUUGAAGCAUAUCACCUUACUAAUUUAUCCUAAUCCAACCUAUUGUUGUAUAGUUGGGAGUAUUAUUAAAAAUCUUUAAUUACCACUUUUAAGUGUGUUAUACAAGGCCUAGUGGCAACUGGAAGAUAAGACCAAACAAUUAAACAUUUUCUAAUCUUAAAUUUCUAAAAUAUGAAGAAAUUAAUGAUAUAUGUAUAAACUGAUUUAGAGAAAGCAAAGUAGUAAUAAUAUGCAGGAAAAUAACAUAUUUUACUUGAACACUGAAAACAAGUAUAAUUUAACCCAUUAGCCCUGGAUUUAUG